UACGUAUGGUGCGAACGUUGUUCGGAAUCACUGGGCAUAAAGAGCACGUAGGCGGUUAAGCAAGUCCAUUGUGAAAUCCCCCGGCCUAACCGGGGAACUGCAUUGGAUACUACUUGACUUGAGUGCAGGAGGGGAGAGUGGAAUUCCAGGUGGAGCGGUGAAAAUGCGUAGAUAUCUGGAGGAACGCCGGCGGCGAAAGCGACUCUCUGGUCUGUAACUGACGCUGAGGUGCGAAAGCUAGGGGA
rnacentral:rRNA from 1 species